UACGAAGGGAGCUAGCGUUGUUCGGAAUCACUGGGCGUAAAGCGCACGUAGGCGGAUGUGUCAGUCAGGGGUGAAAUCCCGGAGCUCAACUUCGGAACUGCCUUUGAUACAGCAUGUCUUGAGUCCGAUAGAGGUGGGUGGAAUUCCUAGUGUAGAGGUGAAAUUCGUAGAUAUUAGGAAGAACACCGGUGGCGAAGGCGGCCCACUGGUCCGGUACUGACGCUGAGGUGCGAAAGCGUGGGGAGCAAACAGG
rnacentral:rRNA from 1 species